UACGUAGGGGGCAAGCGUUAUCCAGAUUUACUGGGCGUAAAGCGCGUGUAGGCGGCUGGUUAGGUGUGAUGUGAAAUCUUCGGGCUCAACCCGAAAACUGCAUUGCAAACCGGCCUGGCUAGAGUGCAGGAGAGGGAAGCGGAAUUCCAGGUGUAGCGGUGAAAUGCGUAGAUAUCUGGAGGAACACCGGUGGCGAAGGCGGCAUCCUGGACCGGCAUUGACGCUGAGGCGCGAAAGCCAGGGGAGCAAACGGG
rnacentral:rRNA from 1 species